AACGUAGGGGACAAGCGUUAUCCGGAUUUACUGGGCGUAAAGCGCCCGUAGGCGGCCUGACAAGUUGGACGUGAAAGCUCCUGGCUUAACUGGGAGAGGCCGUUCAAAACUGUCAAGCUAGAGUCUGGAAGAGGAGAGCGGAAUUCCCGGUGUAGUGGUGGAAUGCGUAGAGAUCGGGAGGAACACCAGUGGCGAAGGCGGCCCCCUGGUUGGAUACUGACGCUGAUACGCGAAAGCGUGGGGAGCAAACAGG
rnacentral:rRNA from 1 species